GAUGAACGCUAGCGGGAGGCCUAACACAUGCAAGCCGAGCGGGAUUUGUUGGUUAGCUUGCUAACUAACAAUGAGAGCGGCGUACGGGUGCGUAGCACGUGUGCAACCUGCCUUUAUCUGGGGGAUAGCCUUUCGAAAGGAAGAUUAAUACCCCAUAACAUAUUGAUUGGCAUCAGUUAAUAUUGAAAGCUCCGGCGGAUAGAGAUGGGCACGCGUAAGAUUAGCUAGUUGGUGAGGUAACGGCUCACCAAGGCUGCGAUCUUUAGGGGGCCUGAGAGGGUGAUCCCCCACACUGGUACGGAGACACGGACCAGACUCCUACGGGAGGCAGCAGUGAGGAAUAGUGGACAAUGGGUGAGAGCCUGAUCCAGCCAUCCCGCGUGAAGGACUAAGGACCUAUGGUUUGUAAACUUCUUUUAUACAGGGAUAAACCUACUCUCGUGAGGGUAGCUGAAGGUACUGUAUGAAUAAGCACCGGCUAACUCCGUG
rnacentral:rRNA from 1 species